CAAGUUAUUUUACCUCUCCGGGCCUCAGUUUUCACAAAAGUAAAAAUAACUGGAGUUAAACAAAAUUAUCUCUGAGGGUGACCUCACAGGUAGUAAGACUUCCAGUUUGAGUAUGAAAAAGAUUGGACUUUCUUGGGCGUUUCUCUCUAUCCAUUUGGGCAGCUGCAAUUCUUCCACCCUAUAGCCUGGAGAAACAGCAUGAAUUACUAAUAAGGGAGCACCAAUCUGCAGUGCAGUGACCACUAUUCAGAACAAAAGGGUAAAAGCUAAAACCAGAAAAAUAGAUUUUUUUAUCUACUAGUUGCUUAAAGCAUAUUUGGACCUUGGCUCUACUGGAGAACAUUUUGCAAUAUUCUACCAUUCUUGAGCAGAAGGCACUUGGCCCCAAAGACUACACUUCCAAAGAAAGAAAUGGUCAUUUAUCUACUACCUAUGAUGCUUGACAGAAUGUUUCCAUCCUCUACGUUGGAACUCAGGAUCCCAUUAACUCAUGAAAUAUAUAUUUAAGAUUUAAGUUUUAUUUUACUGACCCUUUGCUUAAACAGCUUCACCAGCAUCAGUAUUAGAAAGGAGGAGAAUACAAACAGCUCAAAAAUAGAGAUCCUUUUAAGGAAGGAAAGGACUUCUGAAGACUCAUGCUUGGAUUGUGCAUCUAUCCCGGAGCAGAAUGGAACAGGGACUUUCCCCCUGCCCCGGUAACUAGAAAAAAUGACACAUCAGAACGUUUACUCAGUGCUUGACAGAUACCCAGCAACAUCUGUUCUUGUACAUUUUAAUGAUCAUGCAUCCAGCUUCAUGAUAUUUUCCUGGAAGGAAAAUAAAUUCCAGGAUAUGAAAAAAGCAUAUCCUAAGGCAGAAGUAUUUUACUAGUUAAAACAGGAUAGCAACACAAGGACAACCUCAUCUCCAGAAGGGGUUUCUUGACAAAUUGAUAUAACUCAACUUUGGACUUGGUUUCAGCUUUGUCCAUUCACGUAAGUACUUAGUGGAUUAAAA